UCAAGGCGAGCGCCCACGCUUGGGACGAGU
rnacentral:sRNA from 1 species